rnacentral:rRNA from 1 species
CGGAGCCUACGGGGGGCAGCAGUGAGGAAUAUUGGUCAAUGGACGAGAGUCUGAACCAGCCAAGUAGCGUGAAGGAUGACUGCCCUAUGGGUUGUAAACUUCUUUUAUAUGGGAAUAAAACAGGGUAUGCAUACCCUCUUGUAUGUACCAUAUGAAUAAGGAUCGGCUAACUCCGUGCCAGCAGCCGCGGUAAUACGGAGGAUCCGAGCGUUAUCCGGAUUUAUUGGGUUUAAAGGGUGCGCAGGCGGAUUUUUAAGUCAGCGGUCAAAUCGUGGGGCUCAACCCCAUCCAGCCGU